UCGGACAAGGGACUCGGCCGCAGCACCCCCUGGCCCUUUCGCCCGCCCGGCCGGCAGCCAGCCCCGUCCCAGAGCGUGGGACACGGCUCCCACCCGCGCCCAGGACGAAGCCCCGGCACAGGCAGCAUGGUGCAGGCAGCCCCGGCAGCCAUCGCUCUCUGCCUCCGUUUCUCCGUGGACCUCGCGAAAGCCGCAGCGGCUGCUCUGCUCAUUGGAGCCGUCCUGUCUGCCACUGAGCAACACGCUGAG
rnacentral:lncRNA from 1 species